rnacentral:rRNA from 1 species
AAGAGUUUGAUCCUGGCUCAGAACGAACGCUGGCGGCGGGCCAAACACAUGCAAGUCGCACGAGAAAGCCCCUGCUUGCAGGGGCGAGUAAAGUGGCGCACGGGUGAGUAACGCGUGGUUAAUCUACCCUUGGGUUUGGGAUAACGUCCCGAAAGGGGCGCUAAUACCGGAUAAGACCACGGUGUCCACGGGCACUGGGGUAAAAGUGGGCCUCUACAUGUAAGCUCAUGCCUGAGGAUGAGACCGCGUCCCAUUAGCUUGUUGGUGAGGUAACGGCUCACCAAGGCCGCGAUGGGUAGCUGAUCUGAGAGGAUGAUCAGCCACACUGGGACUGGAACACGGCCCAGACUCCUACGGGAGGCAGCAGUGAGGAAUCUUGCGCAAUGGGGGAAACCCUGACGCAGCCACGCCGCGUGGGUGAAGAAGGCCUUCGGGUUGUAAAGCCCUGUCAGGUGGGAAGAACCGCAGUCUGGCCAAUACCUGGACUGCUUGACGGUACCACCAAAGGAAGCACCGGCUAAACUCCGUGCCAGCAGCCGCGGUAAUACGGAGGGUGCAAGCGUUGUUCGGAGUUACUGGGCGUAAAGCGCGUGUAGGCGGACCGGUAAGUUGGGAGUGAAAGCCCUGGGCUCAACCCAAGGAAGUGCUUCCAAUACUGCCGGCCUUGAGUUCCGGAGAGGGUGGUGGAAAUUCCCGGUGUAGAGUGAAAUUCGUAAAUAUCCCGGAGGG